rnacentral:rRNA from 1 species
GUGGGGAAUCUUAGACAAUGGGGGAAACCCUGAUCUAGCCAUGCCGCGUGAGCGAUGAAGGCCUUAGGGUUGUAAAGCUCUUUCAGCUGGGAAGAUAAUGACGGUACCAGCAGAAGAAGCCCCGGCUAACUCCGUGCCAGCAGCCGCGGUAAUACGGAGGGGGCUAGCGUUGUUCGGAAUUACUGGGCGUAAAGCGCGCGUAGGCGGACCAGAAAGUUGGAGGUGAAAUCCCAGGGCUCAACCUUGGAACUGCCUUCAAAACUCCUGGUCUGGAGUUCGAGAGAGAUGAGUGGAAUUCCGAGUGUAGAGGUGAAAUUCGUAGAUAUUCGGAGGAACACCAGUGGCGAAGGCGGCUCACUGGCUCGAUACUGACGCUGAGGUGCGAAAGCGUGGGGAGCAAACAGGAUUAGAAACCCGGGUAGUCC